GACACGAAUCCAGACCCUACGGGGUGCAGCAGGCGCGAAAACUUCACACUGCAGGAAACUGUGAUGAGGGAACUCCAAGUGCACGCACUUAGUGUGUGCUUUUUUCAACUAUUAAUCGGUUGAAGAAUAAGGGCUGGGAAAGACCGGUGCCAGCCGCCGCGGUAAUACCGGCAGCUCAAGUGGUCGUCGCUUUUAUUGGGCCUAAAACGUCCGUAGCCUGUUUGGUAAAUCUGUGGGUAAAUCAACCAGCUUAACUGGUUGAAUUCUGCAGAGACUGCCAGACUAGGGACCGGGAGAGGUGUGGGGUACUCUAGGGGUAGGGGUAAAAUCCUGUCAUCCUUAGAGGACCACCAGUUGCGAAGGCGCCACACUGGAACGGAUCCGACGGUCAGGGACGAAGCCUAGGGGCACGAACCGGAUUAGAUACCCGGGUAGUCCUAGGUGUAAACGCUGUGAACUUGGUGUCGGGGAUCCGUCAUGGGUCCCCGGUGCCGGAGUGAAGAUGUUAAGUUCACUGCCUGGGGAGUACGGUCGCAAGGCUGAAACUUAAAGGAAUUGGCGGGGGAGCACUGCAACGGGAGGAGCGUGCGGUUUAAUUGGAUUCAACGCCGGAAAACUCACCAGGGCCGACUGUUAUAUGAAGACCAGUGUGAUGAACUUGUCGGAUUUUCAGAGAGGUGGUGCAUGGCCGUCGUCAGUUCGUACUGUAAAGCGUUCUGUUAAGUCAGAUAACGAACGAGACCCUCAUCUCUAUUUGCUACCUGUCUCUCCGGAGGCAGCGCACUAUAGGGAGACCGCUGGUGUUAAACCAGAGGAAGGCGAGGGCAACGACAGGUCAGUAUGCCCCGAAUGUCCUGGGCUACACGCGCGCUACAAAGGACGGGACAAUGGGAAGCCAGGCCGAGA
rnacentral:rRNA from 1 species